AAAUUCCUCACAAGCUGGCAUCACAAUCAUGGAACAGUGUAGAUUACAUGUAGAUGCCUUCACAGCAAUCCCAAGCCCUGUCUCAGGCCUUCCCAGACCACGUGCAAUUGCAUCCAGCCCUUACUGCCAUGGAUCAGUGGAUAUUUUCGUUGCCAGGAUUUAGGAAGACGACAACUCCCAGCAGACAGAUCUCCCGAGGUGGUCUGGAGGAUGCAUCUGCCUGCCCUGGGUCUUCAAUCAAACCUGAGGAUACUUUCAUCUCCUGGCUUUCUGAGGGCACAUUGCUAGGAAAGUAGGAGACAAAAUGCAACUGUCAGAAUACA